AUGAUGUCACUGAGAACUGCCGUAGACUACCUGCUGUACAGAUUUCCUUACAUUGACCAGAUUUGAGGGUGACACUUUCAGAAGAGUCUCCUGUUUAAGAGUGGAAACCUUUACAUACUAAAUCUCUCUAAAGGACCUUUUAUACUUGACAAAAAGAGUGAAGGUCAUGAUGCCUAAUGAUGAUGUCACUGAAAACUCUCAUGGACUACCUGAUGAACAACUUUCCUUACAUUGACAAGAUUCAAGUUUGCACUUUAAAGGCUCCACCAAGGGACGACUGACACUGAAGCAGACGCGCACGGUCAAAUAUCAAAUGGAGCUCAGUGAGUCUCACUGAAGAGCUGAGGGAAGGACUGAGAGAGGCAGAGGAGCACAAUGGUCACCACGUGGGCUCACUAAACCCGUUGCCUGUCUGUGGAUCCUGUUCUCCUACCCGGGCUGCGUUUUCAGGACCUGCUGGGAGACAAUGAAUCUAGUCUUGCAUAGACUUGAUGUGCCCGGGGUGGAGAUGUAUCCAGAGUGGUCCUCUGUUCAUUCAGUGUAGAAUGGGACAGGAUAGGAGGAGGUACUAUAAAUGGUGGGUGCCUGGAGGAGUGUGGUUGACAGGGCAGCAUUCAGAAUUUUACAUGGUGAAUAUGUACAAACACUUUAGCAAGGGGCAAAGGCAUGACAUCAUGGGGACGGGGGCAUGGCAUCAUGAGGGUUUGGCAUGACAUCAUAGGUUUGGGGCAUGAUAUCAUAGGGGUGGGUGAAUGACAUCAUUGUGGUCGAGGCAUGAUAUCAUGAAGCUUAAGAGAAAAUAGAUGAAACUAGGAAAAAAAUCAGCCCAAGAGGGAACUGAGACCUAGAGACACUAACAUGGAAGGCCUUUACCUAUGCAUAGUAUCAGCUGUGAGAUUAAUCAUAUUAUAUCUACAAUCCACAAAUGCAGAGAGAACAAAGGAAAGGAGAAGGCCCGUGAGGGGAAAAGCAUAGACCUAUCUGAAAGGAAAACUGGAACAGAUUAUGUGAGUGAGUGACGGCGACUGAGGACAGAAGCGGAGGGUCAGCGGGGAAGAUGGAGGGAAAGCGCGGUGCAGAGAGAAACAGCCAGAAAUAGGGAACAUACGAGUUAAUGUGGAAACUCGAUGAAAACACUGAUUAAUUCAUGGUGUCUAGAGGGCCACGUUCCUGAGGAUUUAAUCUGACAGAGAAUGCAGAGUACGAACCUGCAAUCCUUUGAAAUCGAGCAAGUAGGACUUCAGGGUCGGGGAUGGGGCACAUUCAGUGGAGUCAAUUUCUGAGGAGGUAAAAUGGAGAUCCCUGAACAACAGACUGAUGCUGGGAAAGAGAUUAUAAAGAUAUAGCAAAUGAGGGAUUCCUGGUACCUUAAACCUGCAACUGAUGUAAAUGCACAGGAAAACCCUUCCUGCACUCUAAGGUUUUUUUAGCCAUUGUUCACCCUGAGAAAUUAUACAAACAAUGAUAGUGUGUCCCUGAAUACCUUCUAACAGAGCUGUGACACUGAAAUCCUUGGAAGAAACCAUAAUUCACUUUCACGCAGACCAAUCUUCUGCUGGCUGAAUGUUUCUUGGGUCCACUCCAUCCUUUCACACCUGUUGUGCACCUGGACACUCUAGGAAGGAGACAAGAGAUGAGUGUAUGUCUGUGUGUGUGUGUGUGUGUGUGUGUGUGUGUGUUUGUGUGUGUGUGUGUGUGUGUAUCUGUAUAUUGGUUAUCGUCUGUGUGUCUGUAUUUGUGUAUAUGUGUGUGUAUGUGUGUGUGUGUCUCUGUGUGUGUCUGUAUGUGUUUUUGUGUCUCUCCGUGUGUGUAUAUGAGUAUGUGUCUGUGUGUUUGUGUAUGUGUGUGUGUCUGUGUCUGUGUGUUUGUCUGUGUCUGUCUGUGUCUGUGUGUAUGUCAGUUUGUCUGUCUAUGUCUCUUUCUGUGUUUCUCUGUGUAUCUGUGUGUGUUGCAUGUGUGUGUGUGUGUUUGUGUGUGUGUGUGUGUG